rnacentral:rRNA from 1 species
GACGAACGCUGGCGGCGUGCUUAACACAUGCAAGUCGAACGGAAAGGCCCUGCUUUUGUGGGGUGCUCGAGUGGCGAACGGGUGAGUAACAAGUGAGUAACCUGCCCUUGACUUUGGGAUAACUUCAGGAAACUGGGGCUAAUACCGGAUAGGAGCUCCUGCUUCAUGGUGGGGGUGGGAAAGUUUGGGCGGUUGGGGAUGGACUCGCGGGUUAUCAGCGUUUUGGUAGAGUAGUGGCUUACCAAGGCUUUGCCGGGUAGCCGGCCCGAGAGGGUGACCGGCCACAUUGGGACUGAGAUACGGCCCAGACGCGUAUGGUAGGCAGCAGUGGGGAAUAUUGCACAAUGGGCGGAAGCCUGAUGCAGCAACGCCGCGUGCGGGAUGACGGCCUUCGGGUUGUAAACCGCCUUGGCCUGUGACGAAGCGUGAGUGACGGUAAUGGGUAAAGAAGCACCGGCUAACUACGUG